GACGAACGCUGGCGGCGUGCCUAAUACAUGCAAGUAGAACGCUGAAGCUUGGUGCUUGCACCGAGCGGAUGAGUUGCGAACGGGUGAGUAACGCGUAGGUAACCUGCCUGUUAGCGGGGGAUAACUAUUGGAAACGAUAGCUAAUACCGCAUAAGAGUAGAUGUUGCAUGACAUUUGCUUAAAAGGUGCAAUUGCAUCACUACCAGAUGGACCUGCGUUGUAUUAGCUAGUUGGUGAGGUAACGGCUCACCAAGGCAACGAUACAUAGCCGACCUGAGAGGGUGAUCGGCCAAACUGGGACUGAGACAAGGCCCAGAAUCCUAAGGGAGGCAGCCGUAGGGAAUCUUCGGCAAUGGACGGAAGGCUGAACGAGGAACGCCGCGUGAGGGAAGAAGGUUUUCGGGUCGUAAAGAUCUGUUGUAAGGGAAGAAAGAGUGUGAGAGUGGAAAGUUCACACUGUGACGGUAGCUUACCAGAAAGGGACGGCUAACUACGUG
rnacentral:rRNA from 1 species